rnacentral:rRNA from 1 species
GAUGAACGCUAGCGAUAGGCCUAACACAUGCAAGUCGAGGGGCAUCACAUGAAGUAGCAAUACGGAUGGUGGCGACCGGCGCACGGGUGAGUAACACGUAUGCAACCUGCCUUCAACAAGGGGAUAACCCGUUGAAAGACGGACUAAUACCCUAUAACACAGGGGUCCCGCAUGGGAAUAUUUGUUAAAGGACAACCGGUUGAAGAUGGGCAUGCGUUCCAUUAGCUAGUUGGCGGGGUAACGGCCCACCAAGGCAACGAUGGAUAGGGGAACUGAGAGGUUUAUCCCCCACACUGGUACUGAGACACGGCCCAGACUCCUACGGGAGGCAGCAGUGAGGAAUAUUGGUCAAUGGACGCAAGUCUGAACCAGCCACGUCGCGUGAAGGAAGACGGCCCUACGGGUUGUAAACUUCUUUUAACGGGAAUAAAGUGCCCCACGCGUGGGGUUUUGCAUGUACCGUAUGAAUAAGGAUCGGCUAACUCCGUG